GGGGAAUUAGCUCAGUUGGUAGAGCACCUGCUUUGCAAGCAGGGGGUCAGCGGUUCGAAUCCGCUAUUCUCCAC
rnacentral:tRNA from 1 species